UACGUAGGUGGCAAGCGUUGUCCGGAUUUAUUGGGUUUAAAGGGUGCGUAGGCGGCCCUGUAAGUCAGUGCUGAAAUAUCCCGGCUUAACCGGGAGGGUGGCAUUGAUACUGCGGGGCUAGAGUACAGAUGAGGUAGGCGGAAUUGACGGUGUAGCGGUGAAAUGCGCAGAUAUCGGGAGGAACACCCGUAGCGAAGGCGGCACUCUGGGCCGGUACUGACGCUGAGGAGCGAAAGCGUGGGGAGCAAACAGG
rnacentral:rRNA from 1 species